rnacentral:rRNA from 1 species
GAUGAACGCUGGCGGCGUGCUUAAUACAUGCAAGUCGAGCGAAGCACUUUAACGGAAUUCUUCGGAAGGAAGGUAAAGUGACUGAGCGGCGGACGGGUGAGUAACGCGUGGGUAACCUGCCUUAUACAGGGGGAUAACAGUUAGAAAUGGCUGCUAAUACCGCAUAAGCACACAGGGCCGCAUGGCCCGGUGCGAAAAAACUCCGGUGGUAUAAGAUGGACCCGCGUCUGAUUAGCUAGUUGGUGGGGUAACGGCCUACCAAGGCGACGAUCAGUAGCCGACCUGAGAGGGUGACCGGCCACAUUGGGACUGAGACACGGCCCAA